ACAGAUAGGCUGGAAGGUUUCCUGUCAUCCCCAAAACAAUUUGUCUCUCAUGGUUGGGUUGGAAUGUGCUAGAACACCCAGCCCUGGGUCUGUGCUGGCCCCUGGCUCACACCAUUACAGUGCAGCUCAUGCCAAGACAGGAGAGAGUGAGACUGUCUGCAUUUGAAUCCCAACUUCUGCUCUCCAUAGCUGUAUGUUAUAAGGAAACGGUAAAAACCUGUCUGCGCCAGGGCUACGCCUAGGAUUCCCAGGUCAGAAGCUGGGAUCUGCUGAGGAGAUGAAAGCUGGGCCCUCACAGGCCUGCUUCCUUGAGUUGUUUCUGAGGAAGAUCCAUGUCCGGAACAUGCCCGUAUCCAGAGAGUUGAACCCCUCCACACCUGCAAAGCCCUUUCUGUGCACCCCAGGUUCUGGGGUGGAACAUGAGGAUCUGAGGUUGCGGGGCUUUUGUUCAGCCUUUCAGAAUCAAUCUUCCUCCCUCCCUCUGUCUCUUUCUCUUCCUCUCUCCUCGUCCCUCCCUCUGCCCCCCUCCCCCCUCCCUCUCUUUCUACCCCCAAGACAGGAUUGCUCUCUACCUAGCCCUGACUGUUUUGGAUCAGGCUGACCUCAAACUUAGAGAUUUUGCCUCUGCCGCCCAGAUGCUAGGAUUAAAGGUGUGUGCUACCAUUGUCCAGCCAGAAUUUUUCUCUCCAGGUUGUAGCUUGUUUUCCCCACAAUCCUGUUUAGUUUAUGGUUUGUUUCUUCAGCUCUCUGCCUCCAGUAGAGUCUGCUUCAGCUCAGGUUGAACCCUGAGCCUGUGUGCUGGUGAGCUAAGCAUCAUCGCUGUGUUCUUUCGGGAACUCCAUAAGCAAGGCUUUUACCCUUCACCAGUCCAACCAUUCCCCUACCACUGGCCGUCUCUGACUUGACCUGCAUCACCAGUCUUCCAUGAGAGCCCCACCCUCCCAAACCCCCACCGCAGCCCCCAGCUUCCCUGCUCUCUCUUUCCUGUGUCUUUUUGUAGCUACAUUUCUUGGAGGGUCUCUGAAGAGUUUCUGGUCUGGGGUGAAUGAGAUGGUUCUGUGGCUAAAGGUGACUGCGGCCAAGCCUGAUGAUCUGAGUUCAAUCCCUGGGACCCACAUAUGGAGGACAGGGUUUCUCUGUGUAGCCUGGCUGUCCUGAAACUUUCUCCGUAGACCAGGUCUCAGAAUCAGAGAUCGGCCUGCCUCCUUCUCCUGAGAGCUGGGAUUAAAAGUGUGCAUCAUCAG